rnacentral:lncRNA from 1 species
UCACUGCUGGGAAGUUGGUUCACUACAGGUACAAGUUUAUUGGGACUGUGAAAAGUAAUUACAUGCACAUUCUGAACCACAUAAGCCAAAAAAGAGCAAAGUGCUAUGUAAGGUCUUAAAAUGCUUACAUUUCAUUUUUAGCUUUUGUGAGAUAAUGGAAAAAAACUCAGCGAGGACACAGGAUGGAUCAGGGUCAGAAAAGUAUUAAUUCAGCAAAGAGCCAGAAGGUUUCUGCAGGGACAUCUGUAACUUGAGAUCCGGAGAGGUUUCUGAAACGGCUGUUGAGCCUGUUUUUCUGUGCCAGUAUCAGGCAUCAGCGGGCCCUGGCGCUGAAGCAGACCCCAGCGGGACGCCUGGAAGGCAGUGCUGUGCCAGGUUAGCGAAGGGCU